UGCUAGAAUUAACUAUAAAUUAAUAUUAAUUUGGUUAUAAGGAUUUGAGAGUAGAGGUGUGCACCUCUACAUCCAAAAGGCUCCUCUACAUGACAGGAGAGACCUUGCUGCAGUGUGGCGCUUAAAGUCCGACACCUAGUGGUCGAUGCUGAGAGGUACGCCACGUAAAGACACUUCCCAAAAUGUGAAGCAAGAACUGAAAUGAUCUAGGGUAUGUUCAAUCUAAUAAAUACUUAUUUAGAAGUGUUUCUACCACCUCCUGGUGUUCAGAAAGCAAUGGCUGAGUGCCGUGGCAAUAUCUGAACCACUAUUAACCAUCCAGCGAGAUCAAGUAGAUGGUUUCAGUCGUUGGAAACUUAAAAGUGAUGUGAAAAAGUCAGUCAAGGUGAAAAUUCAGGUCUGGCAGCUGCCCAAACAGGGUGACUUCGGUUUAACUGUGAACAUAGGAGUAAUAGGAAAUCUCAUCUCGGAAAUUACCUCCUCAUGGCCUCUGCUCAAGCGUUAUAUUUUAAAAGUCACAAAAAACAGAACAAAAAAAAAAAAAGCAGUUACCCACCUAGUAAACCACAACUGCUUUUUUGUGUAAGGUUCUAACGGACAAGGAGUACACUGCAAAGACAGAAUUAAAUAUCUGCUCUAGUAUUCUCAAAUGUUGAUCCACAUAUUAGCCUGGAAGACAAUGCAGCUGAAUACACUCAACAACCUAGAUUUCCAAAAUAAGAAAGGGAAUAAUACAGUGUAGGAGUCACUUUUAUGACAUCAAAUAUAACAUUUUCCACACCUGCUACUGUGGUAAGAAGCGAGAGUGGACUCUGACAUUUGGACUCUCCAGAGAACAAAUGUCAUGUACAAGGUCAUCCUAGUUCAGAUCAGCUUUGAUUCAGACCAGCCUAAUGAGGUAGGGGGUCAUCAGCUGUGGGUGGCACCUACAAAAAGGGCACACUGGGACACCUGAUGUCUUUAUAGGAUGACAGUACGUGCAGUUUAGUCCACUUUCAGUUUUUCUCCUAAAGUGUAAAGGGAUUUGUCUGUGACUUUAUCAAUAUUUCUCUGAAUCUGCUUCAGACAAGCAAGUGUAGCACUUUAUUGGACACGUGUCACUGGCAAAGUUCUCCAAGGUGAGUUUUUAAUUUCUUAGGAGAUCCAAACGUUUUGGUAUCUGAUCGAAGAGGAAAAACGGUGUGUUUUUUGUCUUGGUUACGUGUUGUUGACGAGGCGACCCAAGGAUGAGCCUACACGUGUGGUAUAUGUUGGUCCUGUUUCUCUGUCCAAGCACUAAGGAGGCGGUCGUCGACAAAAACAGACUAACAAGAUGGCACUCCUAUAAGUUGGAAAAAGGACAACACAUUGUGCGAAACCUUAAAAGGCAUUCGGAAGGGACCUUCACCAGCGACUUCACCCACUAUCUCGAUAAGAUUAAGGCGAAAGAUUUUGUGGAGUGGCUGGCCAGCACCAAACGAGAAGGGUGUCACGAUGAACUGCUCUGUCUUACAGUAGAAGUAGAACAGCCCAGAUUACAUGUGUUGAAUGCUUGAUACGCCAUGUGGCUGCAUAAAGGACGACGAAUCCUCCCCAAUAACAGAAAAUAUUGCUCAGUUUCUUCUCUUCUAUUCAUCUUCAAAUAAGAAGUGCAUUUCGUACUUUGCUGUUCCCGCAUAACCAAUAAAGUGAAGUAAAGUGAUCAAGAUAACAAUUAUUUUAACAAGAUAACAAUUAUUUUAUCUCAUGUUGCAUGUUUUUUUUUAAUGUUUAUCUUGCAGUCAUGUUCAGAUACCAACACAUUACAGAGAUUGCAGGCUUUGCUUCAUUUUUUUUGCCUCUUAUUUUGUUUUUCUCUGCAGUAUGAAUUAUCCAAAAGGCUAAAUAAAAAUGACUUAAGAUUUAACUGUA